AAGAGUAGACAGUUGCACCGAUAGAGACAUAGUUACUGCCACUCGGGUCCAACAUUUAAGCUCAUCUAGCCACCCAGAAUCUAAAGAAAAAACAUCAGCACCAGAAUCAGGUGCUUACUCUUUUGGAAUCCUGAAAGCAGAUUUUGCCAUUUCAAUUUCGAUAGACCAAGAAGAGAUGAAAGACCAAUUUUUGAGAGAGGUGAGACUUCUGUCCUCUUCUAAUUCUGAUCA
rnacentral:lncRNA from 1 species